AUACGUAGGGGGCGAGCGUUGUCCGGAAUGAUUGGGCGUAAAGGGCGCGUAGGCGGCCCGGUAAGUCUGGAGUGAAAGUCCUGUUUUUAAGAUGGGAAUUGCUUUGGAUACUGUCGGGCUCGAGUGCAGGAGAGGUAAGUGGAAUUCCCAGUGUAGCGGUGAAAUGCGUAGAGAUUGGGAGGAACACCAGUGGCGAAGGCGACUUACUGGACUGUAACUGACGCUGAGGCGCGAAAGUGUGGGGAGCAAACAGGAUUAGAUACCCUGGUAGUCCACACUGUAAACGAUGAAUGCUAGGUGUAGGGGGUAUCGACCCCUUCUGUGCCGCAGUCAACACAAUAAGCAUUCCGCCUGGGGAGUACGGCCGCAAGGUUGAAACUCAAAUGAAUUGACGGGG
rnacentral:rRNA from 1 species